CAGAUUAGAGCUAUAAGAAGUAUUUCAUUUACAUUGAAAAGAUUAUUAAUUUAUUAAUUAAUUUGA
rnacentral:tRNA from 1 species